AAAGGGUGUGUAGGCGGCCAUGUAAGUCAGUUGUGAAAGCCCCGGGCUCAACCCGGGAAGUGCUUCUGAUACUGCUUGGCUUGAGUAUUGGAUAGGUGAGUGGAAUUCCAGGUGUAGUGGUGAAAUACGUAGAUAUCUGGAGGAACACCGGCGGCGAAGGCGGCUCACUGGCCAUAUACUGACGCUGAAACACGAAAGCGUGGGUAGCAAACAGGAUUAGAUACCCCUGU
rnacentral:rRNA from 1 species